GGCCGGCUCCUGGAGAGGUUACCGCAGUACGGGUGCUUGGCAGGCAAGAGGAAGGAGGAAACUCAUGUAAAAUGAGGCCAGGAAUUGUUAGAAAUGCGCUUACUCCCGCAGUUCACCACUCCGUGUUUGCAGAAGGUAGAGUCUCCACAAGUUAGGGAGUUGGUGGAAGUGGCAGACACAGAAGCAGAAGCAACCGACAGGGAUGCAGUACUUCUGGAAGCAGCAUAUAGGGAGAGCCGACUGUGUUUCCUCUACAGCAAUAAAAUAAGCCAUUUAAGGACUUCUAUGAAGAUCUCAUGAAAGACUGGAUGCCAGAACCAUGUAGAAGCACCCAGAAGGGAGGGCCCAGGGGCCCAGUGUCACCACAGAUGAUCUGAGCCUGCCUCUCCAGAUCUGGCCUAGCAGGGAGGGCCGUUCUCUGGACACACCCAGACGUCCCCAGCAUGAGGUCAUUUCGAGAAGGCGAGUCUGUGGGGGCUACAAGUUACUACAUGAUCCAUCUUCCCAUCUGGUCCCAACUGCUCAUGGUCAUGGCUUGCCCAAUGCCGGGCAGGUUAAGAUGAAAGUGUCCUGGCAGAGAUUCCAUCCAGAUACCACCAGUUCUUCCUGGAUUGAACAGAUAGUGGAUCUCACUCCCACAGCUUCUCAAUGGCAGAGCUGGCCUUUGGCUCAAGGGGGCCCCAGGCAGGAAAGGGUGGGGCACCUCCUCCUCCCACCUCUCCCUUUGGCCCUUGAGGAGGGUGGGUGGGAGGGAGCCGCAGGCAUAGCCACUUGUUGUUGGGACAUCUAGGGUGUGGAAAGUCACAGAAAACCCUUAGAAGAAGGCUGAAGUCACAGAAAAUCCUUAAAGGGCCAGGUGGGCUGAAACUGUCACGUAGGAAGUCAGUGAUUUAGAAAAGUGCCAAGUCCAGUGUAAAGGACAUUUGGAGGCUGACCCUGGUGCCCUGGACUGGGGUUUGGAAAACCUGGCUGUCCUCUGAACUCUGGGCGGCCUUGGACAAGUCACAUCAUCUCCAGAUGGAGUGGACCUGAACACUGCUUCUCAAAUGGGUGCCUUUAACUCCAUUGUACUCAGUGGUGAAAAGCUGCAAGUCACUCAUCUUCUGGGAAGGUCAAUUUAACUUGAGGAUCGGGAGGAACAAUUUUUGGAACAGCUUUAUGAGAUAUAAUUCACAUCCCACACCAUCCUCCUAUGUAAAGUCAAUAGUUCAGUGAUUGGCAGCAUUGCCACAGUCAGCUUGAGACUUUUCCCAGUUUUCCCCAAAGGAAGACAUCCUGUUCCAUGUAGCUGUUGCCUCCCACUGUUACCCAAGCCUCCCAGGCUCUACUACUCAUCUACUUUCUGUCUCUGUAGAUUUGCCUAGUCUAGGCAUUUCAUGUAAAUGGAAUCAUACAAUAUGUGGUCUUAAGGAGAUAAUUUUUAUAUUAAUGCAAACAGUUAUGUUAUGAAAAACAUACAGAAAAUUACAAUCAUUCUUAAAUCACAAACGAUUUAUGUCAAAUGUCCCUUGGGCCUGAUAGCUUGCGAAUGACUGUGAAUCAUCUAUUGCCUUGGAAAACCACCUCCAGGAUAACAUCGUUGGAAAUCCGUACCCAGAGCUGAACUUGGGUUGAAAAGAUGUGAGGCGGGAGCAGUCCUAGGUGUACAGGGAAGCAUUUCCUGUUCUCCGCAAGGAACAGGCAUCCAUGCUCCUCUCUUCCUAAGGUCACUUCGUGAAAAUUCUGCAAAGCACUGGGCUUAAUCAUCUGCUCUUCCAUUAUAGUUCCAACUUUAAAAGGUUCCAAAUGCCCAGCUUGAUAAAUCUAGAGUGAUUUUCCAGGAUAAGUUAUUUGUGACUUUCUGAUUUCAUUGUCCUCUUCCAUUCUUUCAUCUUAUUUCAUAUCUAUUCAGAAGUCAACAUUCGAAAUAGCUGAAACAAUCAUGAGAUUAGGCCAAUGUUUCAGAUUUCAAUAAAAAAGAAAAAAAAGAGUAGAGCUGUCCAUUCCAACCAUUCACCAAGGAGCAUCCUUCCAGGAGUGUCUUGAUCCAUCUUAUCCACUGUAGCCUCUCCAGUGUCUUGGACCAUGACAAAACAGGACAGCUCAACCAACAUGAGAAGGGAGCAGUAUGUACCUUAGCAUUUAAGCUGCCAUUAAGACACUGUCAUCCCUUAUCAGAGUGUCUGGGUUAAGUAUCCGGCUCUCUGCUAAUGCAGACCCUGGGAGUCAAUGGUGAUGGCUCAAGUAGUUGGGUCCCUGCCAUCCCAAGGGAGACCUGAAUUGUAUUCUUGGCUCCUGGCUUUGGCCCCAGCACAGCCUCAGUCCUACAGGUUUAUGGGGAAUGAACCAGUAGAUGAGAGCACUAGCGUGCUUGCUCUCUCUCUCUCUCUCUCUCCCUGUCUUGUUAUUUCUCUAUCUUUUUCUGCCUCUCUGCCUCCGUACUUCAAUAAGCUCAUGAAAAUGAAGUUAGGGGAUAAAUAUAAUUUUGGUAUAAAAAUUGUGAAAUUCAUGUAUAUGA